UUCAGAGCACAUAAUGUUUGUCCCACACAUAACAGGGACCUGUGAUUUCACUGGUAUAGUGAACUCCCAGAUAAAAUGAUGGAAUUAGCAUCCCAAAAGAUCUUGCCAGGCUGAAAUGGUAAACCAGAGGAGACACCCUGUUUUCCCUCACUGAAUCCUGGAAAGUAAACUGCGCCUUUGCUUGGCAUAACAACAAUCCUUUGAACUUACCCUCUGGAUGAACUGUGCUGCAGCUAAAUCACAGAAUUGUUUCACACCAGCCCCAGAUGGUCUCUGAGCUCAGACAACAUCAGGAAGCCCUGCUAUGAAUCAAACUCCCUUCAAUGUGGCUGUUACCCCCUCAUUGCCAUGGCUACAGCUCCCUGGUGUUUCUUUGUCUAGUUCUAGCCACUACUGAUUUGGA